UACGUAGGGUGCGAGCGUUAAUCGGAAUUACUGGGCGUAAAGCGCAUUCAGGCGGUUUGGCAAGUCGGGCAUGAAAUCUCUCGGCUCAACCGGGAGAGGUUGUCCGAUACUGCUGGACUUGAGGGCAGUAGAGGGUGGUGGAAUUCCGGGUGUAGUGGUGAAAUGCGUAGAUAUCCGGAGGAACACCAGUGGCGAAAGCGGCCACCUGGACUGCACCUGACGCUGACACGCGAAAGCUAGGGGAGCGAACGGG
rnacentral:rRNA from 1 species